GUGAGGAAUAUUGGUCAAUGGGCGAGAGCCUGAACCAGCCAAGUAGCGUGGAGGAUGACGGCCCUACGGGUUGUAAACUCCUUUUAUCAGGGGAUAAAGUGCCCUACGUGUAGGGCUUUGCAGGUACCUGAUGAAUAAGGACCGGCUAAUUCCGUGCCAGCAGCCGCGGUAAUACGGAAGGUCCGGGCGUUAUCCGGAUUUAUUGGGUUUAAAGGGAGCGCAGACGGGCUGUUAAGCGUGACGUGAAAUGCUGGGGCUCAACCUUGGCCUGCGUCGCGAACUGGCGGCCUUGAGUGGACGGUAGGCAGGCGGAAUUCGUGGUGUAGCGGUGAAAUGCUUAGAUAUCACGAAGAACCCCUAUUGCGAAGGCAGCUUGCCGCAGUCUUACUGACGUUCAUGCUCGAAGGUGCGGGUAUCGAACAGGAUUAGAAACCCUAGUAGUCC
rnacentral:rRNA from 1 species